UUGGUACUCCCUCCGUUCGGAAUUACUUGUCUCAGAAAUGGAUGUAUCUAAAACUAAAAUACGUCUAGAUACAUCCAUUUCUACGAUAAGUAAUUCCGAACGGAAGGAGUAGAUU
rnacentral:pre_miRNA from 1 species